rnacentral:rRNA from 1 species
GAUGAACGCUGGCGGCGUGCUUAAUACAUGCAAGUCGAACGGUGAGGGCGGAUGCUGCUUCCCCUGAUCAUUGGGGCGGAGGUGAGUAUCACGUGAGGAAUAUCUCCCUGACUCUCGGAUAACUGCUGGACAAUGUAGCUCAAACCGCAUACGACAUACUGAGGCGUCUUCUGCGCGAGGAAAGAAUUUCGUUCAGGUCUGCGCUCGCGGCCUACCAGCUUCUUGGUGACGUUAUGGCUGACCAAGGUGACGACGGGUAGCCGGCCUGAGCGGAUGACCGGCCACACUGGGACUGAGACGCGGCCCAGACAGCUACGGGAGGCAGCAGGGGAGAAUAUUGCACAAUGGGCGCAAGCCGGAUGCAGCAACGCCGCGUGAGGGACAACGGCCUUAGGGUAGUAGACCUAAUUUGGCAGGCAAGAAGCGAAAGUGACGGUACCUUCAGAAAAAGGUCCGGCAAACUACCUG